GCGGUCAAGAAUAGAUACGUUUACUAUUACUUCCACAAGAUAUUUUUAAUUGUUACAUGGUUUUCAUGGACAAUAUAUAGAAACCACACGGUUUGCAAAUAUUUUUUACGUCAAAAAAUGCAUUUAGCCACCAGUAUCCUUAUGUAAUAUUUAUGCAAAAAAUGUUCUCUUUUUAUUAUAAUAUAGAGAAGAGAUUAAAACCCCAGCUCUGUACACAGAAUAAUAAUAACCAAAUAAAGAAUCUUGUUUAAAAAAAAGAAACAUGGUAGGCUACUGACUUCUCUCUAUAUGAAAAACUAUAGACUGCACAAAAACCAUCCUGUCAUAUCAUAAUCCGUUUAAAUAGUCGGAAUAAUUUACCCUUUCUUAUCGAUUUAAGUAUGUAGCACUGCAUGUUUUAACUUUGUAAUUUUUACUUUCAACUGAAAGGCAACAGCACUUCAGUUUUUAAUUUCAGUGGGUCUAUAGUGUAGAAAUAUAUGUAAAUACAUAUUACAGCGCAAGAGAAAACACGUGGGCAGUGGUAAAGCUAAUUAAAGAAGAAUAUUUUGCCGAGGUAGCGGUUAAGCAAAGGAGGGAAACCCGCUUUCAGCUGUUUUGACUCCACUGUAAACUUUCUCAACGACACGCCCCACGGAAUCCCCGACACACUGGAGCUUUCUUCGUCGCUAUGUCUUGAUAACCGGUCGGAGCAGAGAUUCACAUUGGCCGUUGUGUAUUGUGGAUCAUCAUCUUGUUGGGAGCUGAACCGAGAAUGGCACAUAAGAACAUACCAGUGCUGUGGGCCACCAGGACUCGAAAUGACUGAUUUAAGAGAUGCAGUUUGUGCUGUGACUGGAGUUUGUGUGGUACUGGCAGAACAAUGAAUAGGAAAAUGUGUUUAUUUGCAUUUCAGUUCAAACAACCCAAUUUCACUCCACGCUUUUGGUUGUUCUCAUGCAUUCAUUUGGCUUUAUGCAAAAAAUAAAGCUUUAAACCAUUUUCCUGGUUUGGCAGUACUUCAGAGCCAUAUUGUCUGCUUUGGUCUGUUUGUUUUCUUGGAUUAACCCGGGCCAUCUUGCUCCAGAAAAGUUCCAUAAUGCAGCGGAGCGCUGUAUGCUUUGUUUACCCGACACGUUCUGUUUUCGUCUCUCUGGUCUUUGUACAGUUUGAACCCCUGCAGCAAUCACGAGAACGUCUUGUUUCCUGGGGAGGCGGGACAUGUUUGCCUGGUUCCCUGCCCAAAAUAUUUGUAACCAGGCAACAGCUAGGCCCAUCCCACAAUAGCUCUGUGCUGUUGACACCCCUCUUGGCACCCCCUUGCCGUUGCAUAACCUCUUUCUCUAACUUCCCAGCACCACAAAUCAAAAUUAGGAGGAGUUUCAUAAAACUCUGCACGUUCUCAAAGAAAACGAACAAUCAAUGUGAAGUUGACUCGUAUUUCUUCUGUUUUAUUGUCCUGAACCUUUACUGCAUGAACUUCGUAGAGUUUACUCUUUGGGCUUGGACUGCCAUGUUUGCACAGACGCACGGAGUUGCAAAGAGCCGGAACAUCUGCUGUUGAACUGAAAGUGACUGUCUGCUGCUGUAACCUCUAUUAACAUGGGGUUUGUUUACACAGACUUUGGCUACCCAGUAGACAUUUUAGUUGCUGAAAAAAUGCUAAAGAGUAAGGAAAUAGUUUUAUACAUGUGGCUGUUGAGAAUAUGAACUUGAAUCUUACUUUACUGGUCUGCAGGCUGGUUUUGAGCAGGGUUUUUCAGACUUAUUUCUUUAAACCAAUGAAUUUCUAUGAGUUUCCCAGAUGUUAACUGGAUUUUGUUUACAACAGUUCUUGAGGGUGUGAAUUAAAAUACGAUUUAGAAUUUUAUUCUGUGUUUUGUCUUAUUUAUUUAAUGAGGGACCAUACACAUUAAAAAUAUGUAACAGAUGGGUCAGAUUUAUCCAAAAAGGACUAAUUUUCAUCCACUAAUAAAAGAAGAUAUUUUGAAGAAUGCUGGUAAUCAGACCAUGUUUAUGGUCCACAUUGACUAUAGUAUUUCUUUCCCUGCCUUGGAAGUCAGUGAGGACCAACAAGGGUUUGGUUCUUUAAAAUAUAUUCUUUUGUGUUCAUAAGAAAGAAGCUUAUAAAGGUUUGGAACAACAUGAGGGUGAGUAAAUGAUGACGAAAUUGUCAUUUUGGGGUGAACUAUUCCUUUAAAGACAAUGAACAGCAUUCUUCUUGUGGCUUCUUCAAAUUUUUGUGGGCCCUGAGCUCCAUGUUAAGAGCAAAUUUUUUAAGGGUUUUGGGCACUUUUUCAGAUGAUCUAAACCAGAUAGGGAGACCAUCUCAAACCACUUCAAACCACCUCAAAACUAUAGAAACUACAAAUUUCAACAUGCAUUAAACAUUCAACAUUCCUGUCUUCCUUGUCGUUUUGAUUCUUUUGGAUAUCUGUUAUUUAUAUUAGCUUUGUUCAUCAUGAAACAAGUCUCUUUUACUCUCCAUUUUUCUUCUUUCUCAUAAAUGGGGAAACUCUCAGUCGUGUCUGGAAACAUCUGGAGGGGCAGACAGCAUGAGGUCAUUGCUCUACCUCCCUGCGCUCUCAUUGUCCGGGUUCGCCACGCGUGUACGUCUGUCUGCACUGAAAGAAAGCAAGAGCGAAGCUGUGGAAUUUACAUUUUUGUAGAAAACAGAGUCUUGUGAUUGGCUCCCCUGCUUCUGCCUUCAUUUUCCUGAUAACUUGUUUAGAGAAACUGGAUUUCAACUUGCCGCUUUAACAAAUCUCAGGUGGCUGAAGGCACAAAUAUAAGAAAAACGGAGGAACAAACUCAGGAUCUGAUAUUUGAAAUAUUGGCAUCUGUGCUUCCAUGAAGAACCUCUCACAAAAGUUCUCACUAAGAAAAAACGUGUUCUUUUAAGAUCUGUUCCCUGAAAGCGAAGCUAAAAUGGUUCUAUGUCAAUGCAUGUUUCUUCAUAAACAUCCCAAAGGUAACAGCAUGGUCUGGAUGACCCUGACCUACAUAGUCAAGUAUUUUCGAUGACUACAUUGCCCAAUAUUAGACCGCAGACCAAUCACGGCGAGUUAUGUGACCAACUACACUUCUCCAUUACAUUCAUGACUUCCUGUCUGGAUAUCUGUCUCUGAGCGGUCGAGGAAAAUGCGAAGGAAAAGGAAACUGCGUGCUGUCUUUGAUAAUCGAUGGAACAUUUUUAAACUCGUUUUCCGCAUUCCGAUCAUAAUCAGACCGCAGGAAUGCGUUUUAGGAAAUAAACACUGAUAAGUGCCUGAACAGGGCCGAGGUUUUAAAUCUGCUGAGAACGUCACACGGCAAUUUAAAUUCGCCAUCGGCAGUUGUCUGUCUUAAUCCAGCUAUCACUGGCACUCCAUUGUGUGGAAGAACAUGAAUUGCCAUUUUGUUCUAUGUAAGACUGUGCAAUCUGGCGGGCUAAAGCAUUACUGAAAUGCAAUCAGUGGGUUUGGUAUUCAGCAGCGUAGUGUGACUCAGGCAGCGUAAACCUCAAGCGCGUCAAACAUAGCCUACUUUCAGCAGGCCACAUGCCAGACAGAGAGGCACAGCGCUGGAUAAGAGAGAGAGAUUGCACUCUUUCUCUACCUCCUCUCUGCAUAUACAUCUCCAGCAAUUCUUUCUCUCAACCCCCACAUUCUCUCUCCUGCUCUUCUCAUCCAUCUCCCCCACUCCUCCAAUGCUUAUGCAACAGUUGCCCUAUUUUUAUGGGGGAGGUUGUGAUGGGAAGAGAGAUUGAAAGAGCAGGUGGGAGGGAAUGAUGGAGAUAGGAGGAAGGGGGGUCCAGGAGCGCUGUCUGUGCACACUGCACACGUCAGGUGGAAGACAAACUGUCCCUUUCUGAACCCACCCCAACCCACCCCUCCACUCUUCUUCUCCGUCAUCGCCUCCACCCCCCACCACUCACCCACGGUCGAGUCAACAUGAACCUUGUUUUCUGAAACACCUGCAAGAUUGGCGUUUAUUGCGAUUGAGGCAAGAGUGUAAGGUUGCUGUGGGACUCCAAAUAAAAUAUCAUUUAGGACUAUGCUUUAACACAAUCAAAAGGGAAAACCUGUAUGUUUUUUUUUUCUUCUUUUGAUGAACCCUAAAGAGAAGAUAUUUUAAAGCAUGUUGGAAGAAAAUAUGGAAGUCAAUGGCUACCGUCAGCUGUUUGCUUACCAACAUUCUUAAAAAUAUCUUCUUUCUUGUUCAGUAGAAGAGAGAAGCUCUUGCAGGUUUGGAACAGCUUGAGGGUGAAUGCAUGAUGAAAGUUUUAAUUUUUGUGUGAACUAUCCUUUAAGUAUCUCAUUGCUUUGAAGAAACACCUGGACACACUUGUUUGUCUGUCAAAUCUAGGAAACUUUCUUAGCAAGACAUAUAAUCACAAAUAUCACCCACAGGUGAAACACACCCUCGUUUGUUAAAGUAUUACUUCAUUACUGCAGAUUUGUGUUUGUGUUUGCAUUUCCGUUGUGUUUUGAAGCAAAAAUCUGUUUGUUAUUUUAGAACUGCACUUAAUUUAGGUUACAAGAGCUUGUAGAAGAAAAGAGCACUGUGUUGUAUUGAAAAAGAGAGGAGCAUCAGUGAGUAAAAAGUCCAGAAAUUCAAAAUUUUUAGUAUAUUUCACAUAUUCACGGUUUAUAAACUAAUAGCAAAAUGUAAUUAUUGGCAAGAGCCCUGAUCUAUGUAUUAUAUAAAAAUAAGUCAAUAUAUAAGUCAAGAAUAUGGUUUAGUAAGAUUGAAUCAAAUUGAAUAAAUGGGGCAACUCUAUGAUCAGAGGCUUACGAGACCUGAGCCCAACUUUUUGUCUGUAAAUUCAAGGUAAACAGAAUCUAACACCUUAUUUAAAUUGACAAACGAAAUCGGACUGAGGGUUACACAACAAUACGACAUGUUUAAACAGACUGAACAUUUAUCCCUCACAGCCCUGUUUCAUUUGCAUCCAACUGAAUACAUCCUCCACUUCAAAUAGUCCAAAGAGUGUUAAAAUGUGUCUCUGAAAGCUGAGGCUCACUGAUUCAUGCAGGUGAAUUUUGUAACACCAUAACAGCGACGUCUCAGACUAGAGCAGUGGUUCUUAACCGCAGGCCUAAAGGGCCUCAGCAAACUUCCAAGGAUGACACAGGAUGAUGUAGAAUAAUACAUCAUUAAUAUUAUAUUAAUACUUAAUAUUAUUAGCAUAUUAAAAUAAUAUUAUUCUAAUCUAAAUGAAAUUAAAAAAAAUUGUUUUGUUUUUAUUGAUGAACAUACAGUUCUGGAAGAGAACCUAACUUCUGAAAUCACAAAAUUAAUCAUGGUAACUUAUUAAUGUGCCCCUGUUAAGAAUGUUUGAAAUUACCUUUCAUGUAGUGUGAAACACAGCUUUAAGUGAAU